AGAGUUUGAUCAUGGCUCAGGACGAACGCUGGCGGCGUGCUUAAUACAUGCAAGUUGAGCGGAGCCAUUGAUGAAGCUUGCGAUUCAAUGGUCGAGCGGCGGACGGGUGAGUAACGCGUGGGCAACCUGCCCUCUAGUCUGGGAUAACAGUUCGAAAGGGCUGCUAACACCGGAUAAGCUCACGGAGAGGCAUCUUUCAGUGAGAAAAGUUUACGCUAGAGGAUGGGCCCGCGUCCCAUUAGCUAGUUGGUGAGGUAACGGCUCACCAAGGCGCCGAUGGGUAGCCGACCUGAGAGGGUGACCGGCCACACUGGGACUGAGACACGGCCCAGACUCCUACGGGAGGCAGCAGUAGGGAAUUUUCCGCAAUGGGCGAAAGCCUGACGGAGCAACGCCGCGUGAGGGAAGAAGGUCUUCGGAUCGUAAACCUCUGUCCUCAGGGACGAUGAUGACGGUACCUGAGGAGGAAGCCACGGCUAACUACGUGCCAGCAGCCGCGGUAAUACGUAGGUGGCGAGCGUUGUCCGGAAUUACUGGGCGUAAAGGGCGUGUAGGCGGCCAUUUAAGUCAGAUGUGAAAUACCAUGGCUUAACCAUGGGACUGCAUUUGAGACUGGAUGGCUUGAGGAUCGGAGAGGGCAGUGGAAUUCCCAGUGUAGCGGUGAAAUGCGUAGAUAUUGGGAGGAACACCAGUGGCGAAGGCGACUGCCUGGACGACACCUGACGCUGAGGCGCGAAAGCUAGGGGAGCAAACGGGAUUAGAUACCCCGGUAGUCCUAGCCGUAAACGAUGGGUACUAGGUGUGGGAGGUAUCGACCCCUUCCGUGCCGCAGUUAACACAAUAAGUACCCCGCCUGGGGAGUACGGCCGCAAGGUUGAAACUCAAAUGAAUUGACGG
rnacentral:rRNA from 1 species